UACGGGGGGAGCAAGCGUUGUUCGGAUUUACUGGGCGUAAAGGGCGCGUAGGCAGUAGCACAAGUCAGUUGUGAAAUCUCCGGGCUUAACUCGGAAAGGUCAACUGAUACUGUGCGACUAGAGUGCAGAAGGGGCAACUGGAAUUCUCGGUGUAGCGGUGAAAUGCGUAGAUAUCGAGAGGAACACCUGCGGCGAAGGCGGGUUGCUGGGCUGACACUGACGCUGAGGCGCGAAAGCCAGGGGAGCGAACGGG
rnacentral:rRNA from 1 species